UCCCCUUUCCUUAGAGAAAUCUUGAAUCUGA
rnacentral:piRNA from 1 species